CAGCCACAUCACAUUGAAACACAGGUUCCCAUACAAUUCAUCGAAGUUAAGCAACCUCGAGCCCGGUCAGUACCUAGAUGGGUGACUACUUGGGAAUACCAGAUGCUGUAAG